GCGGGUGUAGUUCAGCGGUAGAACGUCAGCUUCCCAAGCUGAAUGUCGUCGGUUCGAGUCCGAUCACCCGCU
rnacentral:tRNA from 1 species